rnacentral:ncRNA from 1 species
AAAUCUCGCCUGUUUACCAAAAACAUCACCUCUAGCAUGACGAGUAUUAGAGGCACUGCCUGCCCAGUGACGCCAAAGUUCAACGGCCGCGGUAUUCUGACCGUGCGAAGGUAGCAUAAUCACUUGUUCUUUAAAUAAGGACUUGUAUGAAUGGCCAAACGAAGAUUU